rnacentral:rRNA from 1 species
AAAUUGAAGAGUUUGAUCAUGGCUCAGAUUGAACGCUGGCGGCAGGCCUAACACAUGCAAGUCGAACGGUAACAGGAAGCAGCUUGCUGCUUCGCUGACGAGUGGCGGACGGGUGAGUAAUGUCUGGGAAACUGCCUGAUGGAGGGGGAUAACUACUGGAAACGGUGGCUAAUACCGCAUAACGUCGCAAGACCAAAGAGGGGGACCUUCGGGCCUCUUGCCAUCAGAUGUGCCCAGAUGGGAUUAGCUAGUUGGUGAGGUAACGGCUCACCAAGGCGACGAUCCCUAGCUGGUCUGAGAGGAUGACCAGCCACACUGGAACUGAGACACGGUCCAGACUCCUACGGGAGGCAGCAGUGGGGAAUAUUGCACAAUGGGCGCAAGCCUGAUGCAGCCAUGCCGCGUGUAUGAAGAAGGCCUUCGGGUUGUAAAGUACUUUCAGCGGGGAGGAAGGUGUUGUGGUUAAUAACCGCAGCAAUUGACGUUACCCGCAGAAGAAGCACCGGCUAACUCCGUGCCAGCAGCCGCGGUAAUACGGAGGGUGCA